UAGGGUAGAGUUUCAAACUCUGCCCUAAUAAUUAGGGCAGAGUUUCAAACUCUGCCCUAAAUUUCAAACUCUGCCCUAAUUUAGGGUAGAGUUUCAAACUCUACCCUAAAUUAGGGCAUGGUUUCAAAACUCUACCCUAUAAUUAGGGCAGAGUUUCAAACUCUGCCCUAAAUUAGGGCAGAGCUUG